rnacentral:rRNA from 1 species
GGGUUGUGAGGUUAAGCGACUAAGCGUACACGGUGGAUGCCCUGGCAGUCAGAGGCGAUGAAGGACGUGCUAAUCUGCGAUAAGCGUCGGUAAGGUGAUAUGAACCGUUAUAACCGGCGAUUUCCGAAUGGGGAAACCCAGUGUGUUUCGACACACUAUCAUUAACUGAAUCCAUAGGUUAAUGAGGCGAACCGGGGGAACUGAAACAUCUAAGUACCCCGAGGAAAAGAAAUCAACCGAGAUUCCCCCAGUAGCGGCGAGCGAACGGGGAGGAGCCCAGAGCCUGAAUCAGUGUGUGUGUUAGUGGAAGCGUCUGGAAAGGCGCGCGAUACAGGGUGACAGCCCCGUACACAAAAAUGCACAUGCUGUGAGCUCGAUGAGUAGGGCGGGACACGUGGUAUCCUGUCUGAAUAUGGGGGGACCAUCCUCCAAGGCUAAAUACUCCUGACUGACCGAUAGUGAACCAGUACCGUGAGGGAAAGGCGAAAAGAACCCCGGCGAGGGGAGUGAAAAAGAACCUGAAACCGUGUACGUACAAGCAGUGGGAGCACGCUUAGGCGUGUGACUGCGUACCUUUUGUAUAAUGGGUCAGCGACUUAUAUUCUGUAGCAAGGUUAACCGAAUAGGGGAGCCGAAGGGAAACCGAGUCUUAACUGGGCGUUAAGUUGCAGGGUAUAGACCCGAAACCCGGUGAUCUAGCCAUGGGCAGGUUGAAGGUUGGGUAACACUAACUGGAGGACCGAACCGACUAAUGUUGAAAAAUUAGCGGAUGACUUGUGGCUGGGGGUGAAAGGCCAAUCAAACCGGGAGAUAGCUGGUUCUCCCCGAAAGCUAUUUAGGUAGCGCCUCGUGAAUUCAUCUCCGGGGGUAGAGCACUGUUUCGGCAAGGGGGUCAUCCCGACUUACCAACCCGAUGCAAACUGCGAAUACCGGAGAAUGUUAUCACGGGAGACACACGGCGGGUGCUAACGUCCGUCGUGAAGAGGGAAACAACCCAGACCGCCAGCUAAGGUCCCAAAGUCAUGGUUAAGUGGGAAACGAUGUGGGAAGGCCCAGACAGCCAGGAUGUUGGCUUAGAAGCAGCCAUCAUUUAAAGAAAGCGUAAUAGCUCACUGGUCGAGUCGGCCUGCGCGGAAGAUGUAACGGGGCUAAACCAUGCACCGAAGCUGCGGCAGCGACACUAUGUGUUGUUGGGUAGGGGAGCGUUCUGUAAGCCUGUGAAGGUGUGCUGUGAGGCAUGCUGGAGGUAUCAGAAGUGCGAAUGCUGACAUAAGUAACGAUAAAGCGGGUGAAAAGCCCGCUCGCCGGAAGACCAAGGGUUCCUGUCCAACGUUAAUCGGGGCAGGGUGAGUCGACCCCUAAGGCGAGGCCGAAAGGCGUAGUCGAUGGGAAACAGGUUAAUAUUCCUGUACUUGGUGUUACUGCGAAGGGGGGACGGAGAAGGCUAUGUUGGCCGGGCGACGGUUGUCCCGGUUUAAGCGUGUAGGCUGGUUUUCCAGGCAAAUCCGGAAAAUCAAGGCUGAGGCGUGAUGACGAGGCACUACGGUGCUGAAGCAACAAAUGCCCUGCUUCCAGGAAAAGCCUCUAAGCAUCAGGUAACAUCAAAUCGUACCCCAAACCGACACAGGUGGUCAGGUAGAGAAUACCAAGGCGCUUGAGAGAACUCGGGUGAAGGAACUAGGCAAAAUGGUGCCGUAACUUCGGGAGAAGGCACGCUGAUAUGUAGGUGAAGCGACUUGCUCGUGGAGCUGAAAUCAGUCGAAGAUACCAGCUGGCUGCAACUGUUUAUUAAAAACACAGCACUGUGCAAACACGAAAGUGGACGUAUACGGUGUGACGCCUGCCCGGUGCCGGAAGGUUAAUUGAUGGGGUCAGCGCAAGCGAAGCUCUUGAUCGAAGCCCCGGUAAACGGCGGCCGUAACUAUAACGGUCCUAAGGUAGCGAAAUUCCUUGUCGGGUAAGUUCCGACCUGCACGAAUGGCGUAAUGAUGGCCAGGCUGUCUCCACCCGAGACUCAGUGAAAUUGAACUCGCUGUGAAGAUGCAGUGUACCCGCGGCAAGACGGAAAGACCCCGUGAACCUUUACUAUAGCUUGACACUGAACAUUGAGCCUUGAUGUGUAGGAUAGGUGGGAGGCUUUGAAGUGUGGACGCCAGUCUGCAUGGAGCCGACCUUGAAAUACCACCCUUUAAUGUUUGAUGUUCUAACGUUGACCCGUAAUCCGGGUUGCGGACAGUGUCUGGUGGGUAGUUUGACUGGGGCGGUCUCCUCCUAAAGAGUAACGGAGGAGCACGAAGGUUGGCUAAUCCUGGUCGGACAUCAGGAGGUUAGUGCAAUGGCAUAAGCCAGCUUGACUGCGAGCGUGACGGCGCGAGCAGGUGCGAAAGCAGGUCAUAGUGAUCCGGUGGUUCUGAAUGGAAGGGCCAUCGCUCAACGGAUAAAAGGUACUCCGGGGAUAACAGGCUGAUACCGCCCAAGAGUUCAUAUCGACGGCGGUGUUUGGCACCUCGAUGUCGGCUCAUCACAUCCUGGGGCUGAAGUAGGUCCCAAGGGUAUGGCUGUUCGCCAUUUAAAGUGGUACGCGAGCUGGGUUUAGAACGUCGUGAGACAGUUCGGUCCCUAUCUGCCGUGGGCGCUGGAGAACUGAGGGGGGCUGCUCCUAGUACGAGAGGACCGGAGUGGACGCAUCACUGGUGUUCGGGUUGUCAUGCCAAUGGCACUGCCCGGUAGCUAAAUGCGGAAGAGAUAAGUGCUGAAAGCAUCUAAGCACGAAACUUGCCCCGAGAUGAGUUCUCCCUGACCCUUUAAGGGUCCUGAAGGAACGUUGAAGACGACGACGUUGAUAGGCCGGGUGUGUAAGCGCAGCGAUGCGUUGAGCUAACCGGUACUAAUGAACCGUGAGGCUUAACCUUACAACGCCGAAGGUGUUU